rnacentral:rRNA from 1 species
GGACUACCGGGGUAUCUAAUCCCGUUUGCUCCCCUAGCUUUCGCGCCUCAGCGUCAGUAUCGGGCCAGAUAGGCGCCUUCGCCACCGGUGUUCCUCCUGAUAUCUACGCAUUUCACCGCUACACCAGGAAUUCCCCUAUCCUCUCCCGUACUCAAGCCAAGCAGUUUGGGAUGCAGAUCCCCGGGUGAGCCGGGGGCUUUCACAUUCCACUUACUUGACCGCCUACACGCCCUUUACGCCCAGUGAUUCCGAACAACGCUUGCUCCCCCCGUGUUACCGCGGCUGCUGGCAC